CAACAAUCAUUCAACAUUUGCCUGCGAGGGUGAGAGAGAAGGGAAAAUAAGAGCUUGGAAUCAGUUCCUAUACACUGGAAUGCUGGAUCAGAUUGUGGAGAGAUGUAGAAAUCAAGGUAGGAAUCUGUAGGACCAUUUGUCCUCUCUGAAGUAUUUCAACAGGAAACCCUCAAAGCCACUCAUUCACAUGGCAUUUCCCCAUGAGCCAAGAAAGUGGUACUGUGGAGACUUGAAAACCAGGAAAAGAAUAUUUGGUUUUGUGUCCUUGAAGAGGUAAACUGGAUGUGGGCCCUUCUUUGGCACACCGAACACUUUCAAUAGCUCACGACUGUUCUUGGCAAACUGACCAACAGGUUUGUUUUUUUUUGUAUUAUUUGUAACUUUAAUAACUAGCAGAUGUGAAAUCACUAAAUCCCAAUUUGUGUCACCUUCAAUAAAAGUGAAAUGCCCCUUCGCAGUUCAUGUAAAGCAUAUCAGACGUGUUCUUUUGCAGGU